UCCAUAUCUCUCUCGCAUUAUCUUCGUCGUCUCCUUGGGUUGUGUGGCGGCCAGCCGUCGCCGUCUCGCCGCCGCGACCCUCGCCGGCACCGGCGGCCCCCGACGGAGAUGGAGAGUAACGGGAGCGGAGCCUCUCCGCGGCUAAGAUUGCUACAGUAACCUGACGAAACUGAAGAACAGAGGAAUCGGAGUUUCAAUGGCGAAAGGCUAGUCUGAUCAACACCAGUAGGGUCUAACUCAUUGCAAUACACACCGAUAGCUGGGUCUCUUGAGUUUUUCCAAGAAAUAAUAUGAUGGUUUAGGCCGGUGACCUUGUUCCAUCCAAACUUUGCCCUAGGGAAAUAUGUAUCUGUGGGAUAGUCAAAGCUCCACCGAGAAACUUCUAAAGAGUUUGAAGGGUUUGUUAGGAUGAGAUUUAUUUCCACUACUCAAGUGCGUAGCAAUGGUGUUAUUGGUAGUGAUUUUAGCUUGGGUAGACCAAAUGAUGGUCUUUGCUGACUGGUUUAAGACAGCAAGAUUACCAUCCUGGAGAUUGUUAGCUCCACUGCUGUGGGAUCAUCAAUUGGCUUAUCCCUGUCUGCAACCUAUGCAGGACUUAGCUUGGGAACCUGAUUGAACCAUAUUCCUAAGUACCACUUGCUAUUUUUUUAGAUGCUUUUCUACCAGUCUCUUAGAAGCCAAGUGCACACCUGCCAAUUUUUGAGACGAGCUUGUCGGUUUCGUCAAAUGCUUUCCCAACUGAGAUGGUGUCUGUCAUGGUAGAACUUUCUGUGAUGCGUAUACGUAGGAAGAAUAAUAGUAAUAUAAAAAUGAGGAGAGCUAUAGUUACAAACUGUAGGAUUGGUGAUCAUUUCUCAGUUCUGCUUUCAUUUAUAGUAGGGAAAUGAGGACAAAAGAAAAACUAGCAACUUGUAUAUAAUGAUGGAGAGCAAAAUGGUAUAUAGUCGAAAGGGUCUGUACGGUGAUGUAAGAUCUUUUUGAAACAUCCACGGCGUGUAUAGAAAUUUUAGGUGACGAAUGACAGUGGCUUGACUUGACUAGAAAAUGGAAAAAAUAUCCUGCCGUGGGGAUAGUGGUGCAAAGGUCCUAUUGGCCAAGACAAAAGAUUCAACUUGCACAAGCUAUCAUAUAUUGUUAGUACUGAUCUGAAAGAAUCUUGAACAAAUCUUUGGCACUAUUGCAAGCUACAAGUACUGUAUUGGCUGGGUGUGAAAACAGUCUUAUUUCUUAUGGCUUCCAAUUUCCACGAAUUUACAUAAAUAUCAGCUAAAUACCAUGUACACACACAUAUCUAUACCACUAUCUAGCAAGGUUUGUAAUGAAACUCUUGUAUCUUAAUACAAUGAUGUGCACAUCUUUUGCAUAUUCUCAACAAAAAGGUUCUUGGGUUGUAGUUGCCAAAUUAAUGUGCCUACCCUUGAAAAAACAAGUUUCAGGCUAGCAGCCAGGCUU